rnacentral:tRNA from 1 species
GCCGGGGUACCCAAGCUAGGUAAGUCACGGUAGACCCUAAAAGGGGUCAGCCUCGAGAGCUGAUGUCCUUCGGGACUCGAGGGUUCGAGUCCCUCUCCCGGCG